AGCGGGGUAGGGUAGCCUGGACACUCAAUCUCUUCAGAGAUUUUGCCAGAGAUCCCGCAGGGCUCAUAACCCUGAGAUCAGUUGUUCAAACGGCACGCUCUUAAAGGCGGUUUACGCCUGCCUUGAAAAUCAACUCCCCGCUACCA
rnacentral:tRNA from 1 species